CCCGCCUUAACUCAGACUGGUAGAGUGCGCGGCUGUAGUUUGGUUUGCCGUUUCGGUAACCGCGCGGCUACCGCGAUGUCCCCGGUUCGACUCCGGGAGGCGGGA
rnacentral:tRNA from 1 species